UACGAAGGGGGCUAGCGUUGCUCGGAAUCACUGGGCGUAAAGGGUGCGUAGGCGGGUCUUUAAGUCAGGGGGGAAAUCCUGGAGCUCAACUCCAGAACUGCCUUUGACACUGAAGAUCUUGAGUUCGGGAGAGGUGAGUGGAACUGCGAGUGUAGAGGUGAAAUUCGUAGAUAUUGGGAAGAACACCAGUGGCGAAGGCGGCUCACUGGCCCGUAACUGACGCUGAGGUGCGAAAGCGUGGGGAGCAAACAGG
rnacentral:rRNA from 1 species